CAAUCCCCAAUUGGAUGGCCAGUCCCUGACUUA
rnacentral:piRNA from 1 species